rnacentral:rRNA from 1 species
UCAUCAUGCCCUUAUGACCUGGGCUACACACGUGCUACAAUGGUUGGUACAACGAGUUGCGAGUCGGUGACGGCGAGCUAAUCUCUUAAAGCCAAUCUCAGUUCGGAUUGUAGGCUGCAACUCGCCUACAUGAAGUCGGAAUCGCUAGUAAUCGCGGAUCAGCACGCCGCGGUGAAUACGUUCCCGGGCCUU